AGGGAAUUUUCCACAAUGGACGAAAGUCUAAUGGAGCAACGCCGCGUGAACGAUGAAGGUCUUCGGAUUGUAAAGUUCUGUUGUCAGGGACGAAUAAGUACCGUUCGAACAGGGCGGUACCUUGACGGUACCUGACGAGAAAGCCACGGCUAACUACGUGCCAGCAGCCGCGGUAAUACGUAGGUGGCAAGCGUUGUCCGGAAUUAUUGGGCGUAAAGCGCGCGCAGGCGGCUAUGUAAGUCUGGUGUUAAAGCCCGGGGCUCAACCCCGGUUCGCAUCGGAAACUGUGUAGCUUGAGUGCAGAAGAGGAAAGCGGUAUUCCACGUGUAGCGGUGAAAUGCGUAGAGAUGUGGAGGAACACCAGUGGCGAAGGCGGCUUUCUGGUCUGUAACUGACGCUGAGGCGCGAAAGCGUGGGGAGCAAAC
rnacentral:rRNA from 1 species